rnacentral:rRNA from 1 species
AUUGAACGCUGGCGGCAGGCCUAACACAUGCAAGUCGAACGGUAACAGGAAGAAGCUUGCUUCUUUGCUGACGAGUGGCGGACGGGUGAGUAAUGUCUGGGAAACUGCCUGAUGGAGGGGGAUAACUACUGGAAACGGUAGCUAAUACCGCAUAACGUCGCAAGACCAAAGAGGGGGACCUUCGGGCCUCUUGCCAUCGGAUGUGCCCAGAUGGGAUUAGCUAGUAGGUGGGGUAACGGCUCACCUAGGCGACGAUCCCUAGCUGGUCUGAGAGGAUGACCAGCCACACUGGAACUGAGACACGGUCCAGACUCCUACGGGAGGCAGCAGCGGGGAAUAUUGCACAAUGGGCGCAAGCCUGAUGCAGCCAUGCCGCGUGUAUGAAGAAGGCCUUCGGGUUGUAAAGUACUUUCAGCGGGGAGGAAGGGGGUAAAGUUAAUACCUUGGCUCAUUGACGUUACCCGCAGAAGAAGCACCGGCUAACUCCGUG